GCCACUGAAACGCCUGCCGCAAUUGCAGCGAAAAUAGCUGCCAGACGCGUGCAUUGCUCCAGCUACCCAGGAGAACGCAG
rnacentral:misc_RNA from 1 species